CACACUCAGGAGUUGUAUCUGUUGUUGUUUAUACUCCUUUGGAUGCUGUGCUGGUUAGUCGUUUCCCAUUCCUUUGGCUGUAAGAAUGCUGAUAUGUCUGGGAAUAGAAUGCUAUACCACGAAAUACCAAAUAAUUUCAAAUGGUGCCCUUAAAUUGUAUCACUUUUUUAAAAAUUCAGAUUCUUAUUAGUAAAAUUACUUGAUAGCACUGUGCUGACCAAGUUGAUUGUGAUCAUCCCAGCUUAGACUUUUCUAAAAACUUUUUUUUAGAAUAAUCUAUAAACUGAACUUUAGUAUGCAUUUCAGAUAUUUAGGUAUAUAAUUUUUUUUUUUUUUUGAGACAGAGUCUCACUCUCACCCAGGCUGGAAUGCAGUGGCGCUAUCUUGGCUCACUGCAACCUCCACCUCCCGGGUUCAAGCAAUUCUCCUGCCUCAGCCUCUCGAGUAGUUGAGACUACAGGUACCCAUCACCAUGCCUGGCUAAUUUUUGUAUUUUUAAUAGAGACGGGGUUUUACCAUAUUGGCCAGGUUGGUCUUGAACUCCUGACCUUGUGGUCUGCCUGCCUCGGCCUCCCAAAGUGCUGGGAUUACAGGCGUGAGCCACCAUGCCUGGCCUAAGUGUGUGUGUGUGUGUGUGUAUUUUUUUUUUUUUUUUUUUUUUUGAGAUGGAGUUUUGCUCUUGUUGAACAGGCUGGAGUGCAAUGUCGCGAUCUCAGCUCACCACAACCUCCGCCUCCCAGGUUCAAACAAUUCUCCUGCCUCGGCCUCCCGAGUAGCUGGGAUUACAGGCAUGCGCCACCACACCUGGCUAAUUUUUUUUUGUAUUUUUAGUAGAGAUGGGGUUUCUCCACGUUGGUCAGGCUGGUCUCGAACUCCUGACCUCAGGUGAUCCAUCCACCUCGGCCUCCCAAAGUGCUGGGAUUAGAGGCGUGAGCCACUGCGCCCGGCCUAUAAUUUUUGAUAGAUGAUUUUGGAUUAUUUUCCAGAGAUAAAAUUUUAAAUGUUUCCAUUAUAUCACUGAUUUAUUUCUGCAAAUUGAAUAAAUUCUUAAUUUUCUGCAUGCACAUAAUACAAAAGGUAUUUUCAUAGUUUUGGAUUUAUACCAAAUGAAAAGGACUCUCUUGAUGAGCACCUUUAACUGAUUUUUCUGUUAAAGUUUUAACAAUUUGUUCUUGGAAGUCAGUUCGUGAAGGCAAGUUUGUCAGUAUUUUCACAAAACUAUUCAGCUGAAUCCAGAAAGUGAAACAGCAAGAAUUUGCAUUGUAAAAUUGUGUUAUAAAAUUGGACUUUGAAAUUUCAAAAAUAAGAAAAAUUUUCAUGUGUAUUUAUACUAAAUACCGUUUUAGGAAACUAGGAUCAGGGUGUUUCUGUUGGCGUUGGCAUUAACUAGCUGGAUGUAAAUUUGAAAAGCCACUCAAGCAGCUUCCUAGUCUAGAAAGUCAGAGGUUUAGAUUAGAUUUCCGACAUCCCUUCCAUUUCUGACCUGUAGUUCUUGUCUGGAAUUCUGCUUUGUUAUAAACUAUUGUUCUAAGGAGUUUGUUGUGAUAGCACAUAGUUCAUUUUGUAAAGAUUCCCUGCGUAUAAAGUGAUGCCCUACAUAUGUGAUUUUGUAUUAAAAGUAUAUAGGAUCAUUAUUUUAUUUUGAAAAAUUUAAAUACAGAAAAGUAUAAAAUAUAAGUACCAUCCGCCCAGAAAUAACAUGUGUUAAUGUUUUGUCAUAUGUGCUUUAUAUUUUUUGAAAUAAAGUGAAGUCAACUAGUAUUUAUAGUAAAUAAGUUACAUACACAUAAGUACAUAUAUGAUAUUUAAUCCUCACAACGAUCUUUUGACAUGUGACCAUUUCUUAUUCUUCUUUUAUAGACAAGGAACUAAUGAUAUGAUAGAUUAACUGGCUGUUGUCACACUAGCAAGUGGCAAAACAAGGGAUUAGGAUCUUAGUCUCUUCAACUGUUAGAUUCUAUACUUCCAUCCUGUGUUGACUUUGUUAAUGGAUUGGAUAAUGUGAGAUCACUCUGAUGUAAAUAAAGUAUCCUAUAUUAAUUUCGAGUGCAUUUUAAGUACUUGUAACAUAAAUGCUUCCUGUGAAAUAUCUGUAAAGACCUGAAUGGGUACAUGUGUGUAAAGAAGAAUCAGGGCAGAAAAGUGCUUUUAUCAUGGCUCCGGGGACCUUAGCUUCAGUUGGUGUUGUGAGAAUUCCUCACACAAGGACAUUCUCCUUGCUUCAGCAUCAGGAUGGAAGUGUUUCUCAUCUGGACUUUUUCAAAGACUCAGCUGGAGGAAUCAGAAUUCAUAAUUUCCUGGCAGCUCAUGAUUCUGCUACACUACACCAUGCCAUCUCUUGUGUGAAAGGACAGAUUUGAUGGAGGACUAUGUCAUCCCUCAUGCGUUUCUUAUUGUCUACAUUUAUUCUAAUGGGAAGAAGUGAGCAAAAACACCUCAAUAAUUUGGGUAGUUUUUAGAAAACCUUGUUAGUAAAUUAGAAUAGUGCCACUUUGGCAUUAUGAGAAAGAAGCAUGGAUACAUAACUAGGGUUUUGUGUAUGACUACAACGAAAUGCAGAAUGGUGUCUCCAAAAGGUUUCCAGUUGCUGCCACAAGAACUGCUUGGUAUUGCCUACAUGUGUUGUCCUAUUUUUGCUUUGCCCUUCUGCAGUUACUUGCUGUGGGACCUUGGAGAAAUUAACUUAGCCUCUCUGUACUUCAGUUUUUUGUAUUUGUAAAAAUAUAUUUGUAAUAAUCUCAUAGUUAAGAAGGUAGUUAAUGUGUGACUCAGUCCUUGUCUAAAAGUAAAUAUGCCUAGCUACCCCCAUCUUCCAAAGCCAGAAGGUGAAACUUUAACAAGUUUUCUAAAAGCAAAUUGUGUUUUUUAAAAGUGCAUGUGUCAUCCAAUCCCAUAUGAUUGAUCUGUGCUGGGUGCAGCCUUAGAAUGUAAAUUCUUUUGAAUUCUAGGCAGAGAAUGCAGGAUUGGCAUUCUAAAUAUUUGUACAUGAUAAACAAAUGCUUCUUUAGGUUACAGCAAAUAGUUUACUUAUCAAGAUCACGAUUGUUAGAUACUGUUGUCAAUUACAGAGGUUUUAGAUGAGGCUUUCUGGAAUGAUUUAGUUUCCCUGUAAGGGAGCCUGUCUAUUGGAAUAGACAGGUUCACUUCUCCCAGUCUUUCAAGUUGCAUGCUUUUUAUAUCUGAUUCCACUGGCUGAGCUGAUUGUGAAUGUCCUAACCCUGUUGAUAGUGUCUGGCCACUCAUGGGCAAAGAACAGAUUAUCCAUUCUUUAUAGUUGUCUUUUAGUUUUACAAGUUGAAAAAACAUCUGAGUAGGUUAGAUAAUUUAUUCUACCACUUUGUAAAUGAUUAGAAUAUGUCAGUCAUAAUCAUGCCAAGAGAUUAUGGAUUUAUGCAUAUUUUGUUUUGCUGUAGUACCAUUCCUAGUUGAAUCUUAACAUCCAUGUCUAAAAUCUAUACAGAGCAAAUAUUACAGUUGGGAAAACUGUUUCAGUCUCCUCUCUUCGCAAAUAUGCUUUAUAUUUAUUGGGGAGUCCUCUAUCUUUUUCCUGGUUUUCCUUAAAGCCUUCCCAGGCUGAUGGAUAACAAACAUAUGCAAGAAACUUGGGGCUUGGGAUUCCUCUAGGCUGUUUGUC
rnacentral:lncRNA from 10 species